GUUCAGCCAUGGCAGCGGCGUUCACAAUGAGGGGCGUUAGGGUUCCGCCCAACUCAGCGACGCUGGAGGAGGCGCGGAGCCGCGUGAAAGACUUGUUCAAGUCGGCGUGCCGGUCACUCCCGGCGGUGAUGGAGAUCUACAACCUCCACGACGUCGCCACCAUCUCCCAGCUCCGCUCCGCCAUCGCCGCCCAGAUCCGAAAGAACGCCAACAUUACCAACCCGAAGGUGAUCGACAUGCUUGUUUUCAA
rnacentral:misc_RNA from 1 species